rnacentral:misc_RNA from 1 species
UCUCCGUAGGUGAACCUGCGGAGGGAUCAUUACCGAGUGAGGGUCCUUGUGGCCCGACCUCCAACCCUUUGUGAACCAAACUUGUUGCUUCGGGGGCGACCCUGCCGCUUCGGCGGUGCGGCGCCCCCGGAGGCCAUUAAACACUGCAUCAUUGCGUCGGAGUUUAAAACAAAUCAAACAAAACUUUCAACAACGGAUCUCUUGGUUCUGGCAUCGAUGAAGAACGCAGC